GGCAGCUGGAGGACCUGUUGAUGCUGGCCCAGAGUAUCAGCAAGACCUGGAUAGGGAGCUUUUUAAGCUUAAGCAAAUGUAUGGUAAAGGAGACAUGAGUACUUUCCCUACCUUCAAAUUUGAAGAUCCCAAAUUUGAAGCCAUCGAGAAACCCCAGGCCUGAAGAAAUAAAGUUAAAUUAAUUUGGCAGUUUGCCAUGGAUUAGUUGUACAACUAAUCGGAAGUUUCAGAACAGACAUAACAUUU